GUGGGGAAUAUUGGACAAUGGGCGAAAGCCUGAUCCAGCCAUGCCGCGUGUGUGAAGAAGGUCUUCGGAUUGUAAAGCACUUUAAGUUGGGAGGAAGGGCAGUAAGUUAAUACCUUGCUGUUUUGACGUUACCAACAGAAUAAGCACCGGCUAACUUCGUGCCAGCAGCCGCGGUAAUGCGAAGGGUGCAAGCGUUAAUCGGAAUUACUGGGCGUAAAGCGCGCGUAGGUGGUUCAGCAAGUUGGAGGUGAAAUCCCCGGGCUCAACCUGGGAACUGCCUCCAAAACUACUGAGCUAGAGUACGGUAGAGGGUAGUGGAAUUUCCUGUGUAGCGGUGAAAUGCGUAGAUAUAGGAAGGAACACCAGUGGCGAAGGCGACUACCUGGACUGAUACUGACACUGAGGUGCGAAAGCGUGGGGAGCAAACAGGAUUAGAAACCCCGGUAGUCC
rnacentral:rRNA from 1 species